rnacentral:lncRNA from 1 species
GCCGCUUUAGACUCUUGGUUUCUUCGGUACAACUGAUCACUGUCUCACCAUUAAAGGCUCAAAGAAAACGGUAUAAAAUGUGGUGAAUGAAUGAAUGAACUGUGGGUUUGGUGAACAGCUUGGACUGACUGGACCAAAACAUUUCAGGAGCAACAAUCAGAGAGAGAGAGAGAGAGGCUGGGGAUCAAUACUUUGCAGUGUAGCUGUGAGACAGGCGGCUGAUUUACUCGCGGUCUGGGCUGUGAUUGGUCCGUUCGGAGGUGGAGGAAGAGGAGGAGGAAGGCGAGGAGGUGGAGGGACGGCGGCGUGGUGGAGCAGCUGAGGUGAAAAUGUCCUUCUGCAGCUUUUUCUGUCUUCUUCUUUCCUUCUUUAAAGCCCCCUACACUAUCCCUCCAUCCUACACCUCCAUCCUACCCCUCCACCCCUCCAUCCCUCCGUACCGCCCCCUGCUCCCUCCACCCGACCCGACUUUAAUCUGAUGGCAUUACGAGACCCGAGGCAGGGAGGAAGGUGCGUUCGCGUGCAGACACUGUUACACACACACUUACACACACACACAC